rnacentral:rRNA from 1 species
GAUGAACGCUGGCGGCGUGCCUAAUACAUGCAAGUCGAGCGAACAGACGAGGAGCUUGCUCCUCUGACGUUAGCGGCGGACGGGUGAGUAACACGUGGAUAACCUACCUAUAAGACUGGGAUAACUUCGGGAAACCGGAGCUAAUACCGGAUAAUAUAUUGAACCGCAUGGUUCAAUAGUGAAAGACGGUUUUGCUGUCACUUAUAGAUGGAUCCGCGCCGCAUUAGCUAGUUGGUAAGGUAAAGGCUUACCAAGGCGACGAUGCGUAGCCGACCUGAGAGAGUGAUCGGCCACACUGGAACUGAAACACGGUCCAGACUCCUACGGGAGGCAGCAGUAGGGAAUCUUCCGCAAUGGGCGAAAGCCUGACGGAGCAACGCCGCGUGAGUGAUGAAGGUCUUCGGAUCGUAAAACUCUGUUAUUAGGGAAGAACAAAUGUGUAAGUAACUAUGCACGUCUUGACGGUACCUAAUCAGAAAGCCACGGCUAACUACGUG